AGUUAGCAGAAAGAGAUAUCAUAGUCCGUAACUUUAUGAUAAGGACUAAAAAAUCAGGCUAACUUGAGAUUCAGAAAGAGAUAUCAUCGUCCUUGGCACUUCCCUAACUAUCUGAAUCAGCUCUAUUAUUUCAUCUCCAAUCAUGAUGACCCCCAGGUUGCUUCGAAAAAUGUCAUUCUUAAUUCUAUCCUUCUAGUGCACAUCCAUCUCAAAAUCCUAAACAUUUUCCCCAUGUUAUUCGUUCUUAAUGGUCCAAACCUUUCCUCCGUAGCUGAUCUAAUAGCUAUCUUAUAAAACUUUUCCGCAAGUUUAAUUGGAAUGUUGCGAUCACACAGCACUCUAGAGGCUCAACUAUUGGGAAAAAGAAGCUCAUUAUGAUGUUCCAGAGUUUAUAUUAUUGGAUGCAACAGCAACAUCUGUAUAAAUUUUAUAUUAUGCCAUUCUCUCAUAGGUUGCCGGUAAUGGAGAAAAAGCCAGGGAGAUACAAGCUGAAGUUCUUGAGCAUGUGGAACUCUCGAAAUCACUUCUAGAGGCUGUAAUCCAUCUAGAGUCAAUUCAAUCAUUCCCGAAGCGAAUUGAUUAUGUUGAUUCCUUGGUGGAGAAGUUCAUACCACCCUACCCCGAUAACCCGAAUAUGACGAGUAUCACCAAGAGAGAAGAGUUGUCUAGCAUAUUCUUGGAGUUUCUGGAUCUAUUUGGAGAUCCACAAUCAAUCAAGAAGGUUGAAAAUCAGCACUUUAAGCUGUUUUUACACCAAAGGAGUGUGUCAGAGUCUAAAAAACGGCGUGCUGAAGAUUUUUUGGCUUCAGAGAAGCAAAGAUGGCCAAGUCUUAUGCAGCUGUUCCUUCACAAGCUCAAUCGCUCAUAGGUGCAUAUCCAAAUGCACAGAACCAGUGGGCUGCAGGUUAUGGACUUCAACCUCAAGCUUGGCCACAGGCUCAUCAAGCACCGGGCCAGCAGUGGAAUCCUGCCUAUUCUCAGCAGGUAUCAGGUGAACUAGUUAACACACAGGAAAUUUGAUUGUAAAGC